UACGUAGGUGGCGAGCGUUAUCCGGAUUUAUUGGGCGUAAAGGGAACGCAGGCGGUCUGUUAAGUCAGCGGUCAAAGCCCGGGGCUCAACCCCGGCCCGCCGUUGAAACUGGCAGUCUCGAGUUGGAGAGAAGUAUGCGGAAUGCGCGGUGUAGCGGUGAAAUGCAUAGAUAUCACGCAGAACCCCGAUUGCGAAGGCAGCAUGCCGGCUUCCGACUGACGCUGAAGCACGAAAGCGUGGGGAUCGAACAGG
rnacentral:rRNA from 1 species